rnacentral:rRNA from 1 species
UCAAGAGAACGUGAAAUCGUUGAAGUGGAAACGGAGAGAGUUAAUAUAGUCUAGUGAAUAAAUGUUAUUUAUUAUUAUAUAUAUAUAUAUAUAUGAUAUAUAAUAACAUGUAUGUCACUAACGGCUACGUUAACAACAUUAAUAGCACAAUCUGAGUUAAACAUGUUGCCCAUUAUUAUUAUUAUUAUUAUUAUAAUAGUGGUGCCUAAUGUUUAACAGUAAAGUUUGUUGCGUUUUAUUAAUGUUUAUCAUCGAUCGAUCGAUCGAUCGAUCGAAUCGAUAGUGUUAACGUGAACGUUAAUCACCUCUCUGAC